rfam:Triticum aestivum genome assembly, contig: Triticum_aestivum_CS42_TGACv1_scaffold_322320_4BL
AAUGUAUUCCCUCCGUCCCAAAAUUCUUGUCUUAGAUUUGUUCAAAUACGGAGGUAUCAAGUCACGUUUUAGUAUUUAGGUACAUCUGUAUCUAGACAAAUCUAAGACAAGAAUUUUGGGACGGAGGGAGUAUUUA